AGUAAAGCUUUGAAGAGAAAGAGUAAAAUUAACAGAGUUUUAAAGAGAGUUCCCGGAUGGUGAGAGGGGCAAAACAAGCUGAUUUGAAUACAUCUCUGAGCAGCACUCCGAAAGAUAACAACCAGUAGGCAGAUGUCGUUAGUUGCACACGUUAUAGUGCUAGAGUAUAACCAAUAAUUUUUGGCGUACUUGAAGAGGUUGUUAUUGUGAGGUAACAAUAAAUUAAGGUGGUAACACGUAAGUAAUGCUUUCGUCCUUUUA
rnacentral:ncRNA from 1 species